UACGAAGGGGGCUAGCGUUGCUCGGAAUCACUGGGCGUAAAGGGUGCGUAGGCGGGUCUUUAAGUCAGGGGUGAAAUCCUGGAGCUCAACUCCAGAACUGCCUUUGAUACUGGAAGACUUGAGUUCGGGAGAGGUGAGUGGAACUCGCGAGUGUAGAGGUGAAAUUCGUAGAUAUUCGGACAAAGACCACGAGGUGGCAGAACGGCGGCCUC
rnacentral:rRNA from 1 species